UACGGAGGGCGCGAGCGUUAAUCGGAAUUACUGGGCGUAAAGCGCGCGUAGGCUGUUGUGUAAGUUGGGGGUGAAAUCCCACAGCUCAACCGUGGAACAGCCCUUGAUACUGCGCGACUUGAAUCCGGGAGAGGGUGGCGGAAUUCCAGGUGUAGGAGUGAAACCCGUAGAUAUCUGGAGGAACAUCAGUGGCGAAGGCGGCCACCUGGACCGGUAUUGACGCUGAGGCGCGAAAGCGUGGGGAGCAAACAGG
rnacentral:rRNA from 1 species